rnacentral:rRNA from 1 species
CAGCAGCCGCGGUAAUACAGAGGGUGCAAGCGUUAAUCGGAAUUACUGGGCGUAAAGCGCGCGUAGGUGGUUCGCCAAGUUGGAUGUGAAAUCCCCGGGCUCAACCUGGGAACUGCAUCCAAAACUGGCGAGCUAGAGUAUGGUAGAGGGUGGUGGAAUUUCCUGUGUAGCGGUGAAAUGCGUAGAUAUAGGAAGGAACAUCAGUGGCGAAGGCGACCACCUGGACUGAUACUGACACUGAGGUGCGAAAGCGUGGGGAGCAAACAGGAUUAGAUACCCGCGUAGUCCCUGUCUCUUAUAC